rnacentral:rRNA from 1 species
UUGACCUCAAAUCAGGUGAGACUACCCGCUGAACUUAAGCAUAUCAAUAA